rnacentral:rRNA from 1 species
AUGGCUGACGAGCCCCAGCCCGAGCCACAGCUGGUGAUGCCUCUGGUACUUGAAGCAACCAGACCGUUGUGCGCACCUCUGCAGCAAGGUCUCGAUGACGUUCCUGUUCUGCGAUUCAACGUAGCAGCGGUGGAUCUAUUGGAUGCUUAUGAGGAAGCUUUUAAAUCUAUGACCCGACGAGCCAGAGACAUAGCACCCGCCCUCUACUGCAACAAGCCUAUAACUCCCCUUCCUAACCCACACAAUCGGCCAAGACAAACUUCUUCUGCUGCUUCUUCUUCCACCUCAAGAAAGAAAGAUAAAGCAAAGAAAACAAAGCAAUCGGAGGAGGAGCUUGAUGAUUAUGAAGAUGUGAAGAAAUGGGGUCACAGCCAUUUCAUAAUAGAAAUGUAUUACGAUGAUAAGGCCACGGGUUACAAGUACGAUGGAAUGAUGGUUCAACUUCUCAUAUGUGACUACAAUGGCUACCUGGUUGGUUUAAGAAGCUUUGCAUAUGAUCGAUGGUCCAAGUGGUACUAUUGUAGUGAUGACUUUUCCCUUCCAUUCUUUCUCAAAGAUGGCGCAAGCAAGCUCCCAAUAGAAGGUGAUCAUGAGAAAAGGGCUCUUCUUGGAGGGCGCCCCACUUUCGUCCACAUCUUUGAGAAACUUGGCUAUUACCCGGGUACUGGAGACACCGAGGAAAUGGGAAAAGCAUUCCUAGAAGCUGUGUUGGUAUUUUGUGAGGCAAGGCGGGUCGUAUGGAUAUUCAUGGAAGUGAAGGAGAGAAUUAAAAGGAAGGAAGAACCAAGGGACUUAGACUGCACCAUCCCUGGUAGAGAAAUCCACAUGCACUAUGCGUGGGGUGAUGUUUCGGAUUGGGGUCUUGACUCCAAACUAGUGUUAACUUCUGCCCAGAAAGGAGUGUACACGCCACCUAGGGACGACGAUGGUAAGGCAGAAACUCUAGUAGUAAUUGACAAGAGGAGCACGUUUGAGAGACUUAUCGCACACGGAAGGGAAAGUGGACAUCUGGGGCUGAUAAUGCGUGAUGACGGUGUAUUGGCUCCAGAGGGCAGCCGGGUGCUCAUGCUGUUGAGGAAGAAGAAGGAUCAGUUGGGAGCUAAAUGCCGUGAACCGUAUUUCCGUAAAGUGAAGGAGAAUGAAGACGAUGAGUGA